CCUACGUGAGGCAGCAGUGAGGAAUAUUGGUCAAUGGGCGCGAGCCUGAACCAGCCAAGUCGCGUGAGGGAAGACGGUCCUAUGGAUUGUAAACCUCUUUUGUCGGGGAGCAAAAGACGCCACGCGUGGCGUUCCGAGAGUACCCGAAGAAAAAGCAUCGGCUAACUCCGGGCCAGCAGCCGCGGUAAUCCGGGGGAUGCGAGCGUUAUCCGUAUUUAUUGGGGUAAAAGGGUGAGCAGGCGGAAGAUCAAGUCAGCGGUAAAAUUGAGAGGCUCAACCUCUUCGAGCCGUUGAAACUGGUUUUCUUGAGUGAGUGAGAAGUAUGCGGAAUGCGUGGUGUAGCGGUGAAAUGCGUAGAUAUCACGCAGAACUCCGAUUGCGAAGGCAGCAUACCGGCGCUCAACUGACGCUCAUGCACGAAAGUGUGGGUAUCGAACAGGAUUAGAUACCCGAGUAGUC
rnacentral:rRNA from 1 species